GGAGCGUAGGUGGACAGUUAAGUCAGUUGUGAAAAUUUGCGGCUCAACCGUAAAAUUGCAGUUGAUACUGGCUGUCUUGAGUACAGUAGAGGUGGGCGGAAUUCGUGGUGUAGCGGUGAAAUGCUUAGAUAUCACGAAGAACUCCGAUUGCGAAGGCAGCUCACUGGACUGCAACUGACACUGAUGCUCGAAAGUGUGGGUAUCAAACAGGAUUAGAUACCCUGGUAGUCCACACAGUAAACGAUGAAUACUCGCUGUUUGCGAUAUACAGUAAGCGGCCAAGCGAAAGCAUUAAGUAUUCCACCUGGGGAGUACGCCGGCAACGGUGAAACUCAAAGGAAUUGACGGGGGCCCGCACAAGCGGAGGAACAUGUGGUUUAAUUCGAUGAUACGCGAGGAACCUUACCCGGGCUUAAAUUGCAUUUGAAUAAUCUGGAAACAGGUUAGUCGUAAGACAAAUGUGAAGGUGCUGCAUGGUUGUCGUCAGCUCGUGCCGUGAGGUGUCGGCUUAAGUGCCAUAACGAGCGCAACCCUUAUCUUUAGUUACUAACAGGUCAUGCUGAGGACUCUAGAGAGACUGCCGUCGUAAGAUGUGAGGAAGGUGGGGAUGACGUCAAAUCAGCACGGCCCUUACGUCCGGGGCUACACACGUGUUACAAUGGGGGGUACAGAAGGCAGCUACCUGGUGACAGGAUGCUAAUCCCAAAAGCCUCUCUCAGUUCGGAUCGAAGUCUGCAACCCGACUUCGUGAAGCUGGAUUCGCUAGUAAUCGCGCAUCAGCCAUGGCGCGGUGAAUACGUUCCCGGGCCUUGUACACACCGCCCGUCAAGCCAUGAAAGCCGGGGGUACCUAAAGUACGUAACCGCAAGGAGCGUCCUAGGGAAA
rnacentral:rRNA from 1 species